GGGUUGUGAGGUUAAGCGACUAAGCGUACACGGUGGAUGCCCUGGCAGUCAGAGGCGAUGAAGGACGUGCUAAUCUGCGAAAAGCGUCGGUAAGGUGAUAUGAACCGUUAUAACCGGCGAUGUCCGAAUGGGGAAACCCAGUGCAAUUCGUUGCACUAUCGUUAACUGAAUACAUAGGUUAACGAGGCGAACCGGGGGAACUGAAACAUCUAAGUACCCCGAGGAAAAGAAAUCAACCGAGAUUCCCCCAGUAGCGGCGAGCGAACGGGGAGCAGCCCAGAGUCUGAAUCAGCUUGUGUGUUAGUGGAACGGUCUGGAAAGUCCGACGGUACAGGGUGAUAGUCCCGUACACCAAAAUGCACAGGCUGUGAACUCGAAGAGUAGGGCGGGACACGUGGUAUCCUGUCUGAAUAUGGGGGGACCAUCCUCCAAGGCUAAAUACUCCUGACUGACCGAUAGUGAACCAGUACCGUGAGGGAAAGGCGAAAAGAACCCCGGCGAGGGGAGUGAAAAAGAACCUGAAACCGUGUACGUACAAGCAGUGGGAGCACCUUCGGGUGUGACUGCGUACCUUUUGUAUAAUGGGUCAGCGACUUAUAUUCUGUAGCAAGGUUAACCGUAUAGGGGAGCCGCAGGGAAACCGAGUCUUAACUGGGCGUUAAGUUGCAGGGUAUAGACCCGAAACCCGGUGAUCCUAGGCCAUGGGCAGGUUGAAGGGUUGGGUAACACUAACUGGAGGACCGAACCGACUAAUGUUGAAAAAUUUAGCGGAUGACUUGUGGCUGGGGGUGAAAGG
rnacentral:rRNA from 1 species